rnacentral:rRNA from 1 species
AUCGAUGAAGAACGCAGCGAAAUGCGAUAAGUAAUGUGAAUUGCAGAAUUCAGUGAAUCAUCGAAUCUUUGAACGCACCUUGCGCCCUUUGGCUAUUCCGAAGGGCAUGCCUGUUUGAGUAUCAUGAACACCUCAACUCUCAUGGUUUGCCAUGAUGAGCUUGGACUUUGGGGGUCUUGCUGGCCUGUGGUCAGCUCCUCUCAAAUGAAUCAGCUUUCCAGUGUUUGGUGGCAUCACAAGUGUGAUAAAUAUCUACGCUUGUGGUUUCCUGCCAGGUAACCUUCAGUGAUGGAGGUUCGCUGGGGCUCAUAAAUGUCUCUCCUCAGCGAAGACAGCUUUGUAAAUGUUUGAUCUCAAAUCAGGUAGGACUACCCGCUGAACUUAAGCAUAUCAAUAAGCGGAGGAAAAGAAACUAACAAGGAUUCCCCUAGUAACUGCGAGUGAAGCGGGAAGAGCUCAAAUUUAAAAUCUGGCGUGCCUCUGGUCGUCCGAGUUGUAGUCUGGAGAAGCGUUUUCCGUGUUGGACCGUGUAUAAGUCUCUUGGAACAGGGCGUCAUAGAGGGUGAGAAUCCCGUCUUUGACACGGACUACCAAUGCUUUGUGAUGCGCUCUCAAAGAGUCGAGUUGUUUGGGAAUGCAGCUCAAAAUGGGUGGUAAAUUCCAUCUAAAGCUAAAUAUAGGCGAGAGACCGAUAGCGAACAAGUACCGUGAGGGAAAGAUGAAAAGCACUUUGGAAAGAGAGUUAAACAGUACGUGAAAUUGCUGAAAGGGAAACGCUUGAAGUCAGUCACGUCUGCCAGGACUCAGCCUUGCUUCUGCUUGGUGUACUUUCUGGUUUGAUGGGCCAACAUCAAUUUCAACCGUUGGAGAAAGGCUUUGGGAAUGUGGCACCUUAGGGUGUGUUAUAGCCCUUUGUUGUAUACAACGGCUGGGAUUGAGGACUGCAGCAUGCCUUCAUGGCCGGGGCUCGCCCACGUACAUGCUUAGGAUGUUGGCAUAAUGGCUUUAAGCGACCCGUCUUGAAACACGG